rnacentral:rRNA from 1 species
UACGUAGGGUGCAAGCGUUGUCCGGGAAUUAUUGGGCGUAAAGAGCUCGUAGGCGGUCUGUCGCGUCGGCUGUGAAAACUCGGGGCUCAACUCCGAGCUUGCAGUCGAUACGGGCAGGCUAGAGUUCGGCAGGGGGAGACUGGAAUUCCUGGUGUAGCGGUGGAAAUGCGCAGAUAUCAGGAGGAACACCGGUGGCGAAGGCGGGUCUCUGGGCCGAUACUGACGCUGAGGAGCGAAAGCGUGGGGAGCGAACAGG